CGAUUACCUAGGACACAGUGAACAUCGAGUAUUGUCCGGAACUGUUUUCAUUACAAAAAAAAAUUGAAACUCUAUUAUAGAAGCUUACGAAUGUCUUUUCUUGUUCAACUUUACGCCUUAAAUUGUUGAAUGUAAAGACGAUUCGGUAGGUUUGCGGAGCGAUGUGAACCCAAACAGCCGUUGUAUCUGUAUGAUUCACUGAAAAUGGAAUAAAAACGAAGUGAACCAAGUUUCCGGUCUCAGUAUUCAACGAGAAAGGAUCUUUGACUCCAUUUAGCGUGGGAUUGGAAAUCGUUGUACUAUUCGGAAUUAUGUUGGAUGGACGAUAUUUCAAUAUUUCAAGAGCUCCAAUAAUCGUUUCGUGGAAAUUAAAAACCAAAAAAAAAUAAACAUUCAAGCCAGACCUCCACAGCAAGAAGAAGCUUAUCGCGUUCGUCUUCCAUCGCAACACCAGCUCUAUAACUUUUGUUGUUAAAAACUGGCGCUUCGUCAUUCAC